AUGCACGGUUCCCUCUUGCUUUUCAGUAAUGUUGUAAAGGCGUCAGGCUUCAGCAACAGUUACAGUUCCCGCUUUUCCCAUGGUCACAAAACAGUCCCGUGUUCCGUUGACAGAUGAGCAUAUUGUUCUUUUCCCGACAGGAAUCAGCUGAUGCUUGCCUUUUUAGAAAAACUAAAAUUUAGUUUUCCCUUACAGCAGAACAAACAUAUCCCGUGUGCCAUUGCUAAAACGGUGAAGCGAGGCCUACUGCGCAUAUGGGUAUGCCCAUAUAAGGAAGUUCUGGUUGCAGUGACAUCAGUAGAACUCCACAAACCAAAGCUUGUGUAAGGUACACAAAAGAUAAGGUAACAUGUUUUUUUUUUUAACUGUUAAAAAUGCAUAAAUAUGGUUAGAGCAUUUAAGAGUAGUAAUAAUUCAUGUUAUACAUAUAAAAUUCAGUUGUAAAAGAAAAAAAGACACCCUACUAUUUUUUGUAUAUGUUUGUUUCUAAAAUAACCAAAUCUCCAUUGUUGGCGUUUGGGUGUAAUACCGCAAGGUCCACUAGGGGGUGCUAGCAGCGAUGGUGGUAUAGAGUAGGUGACAAAACCACAGAGGAAGAAUAAAUCCUGAGGGUGAAUAUACGUCAAGUCAUCGUGGAUUGUCUUCCUUAUUCUGUACCACAAGUAACCAUGGAAACAGUGGAAAAGCAAAGGUUUCAUUCACCACCAUCUUUUUUUUAAGCUUCCAGUCUGUUAUUCUCACCCAAUGAGGAUGACAAGAGUCCUAUCCAGCCUUUGGCCGUGUCAACACACAUAUUUUAGAGAGAGAAAACCUGAUGCGGCCCAGUCUCGCCCGGACCCUAGCUCCAGUGGCCCCCAGCGGUUACCAUAGCAACACAAAUGCUAGCCCAUGUACCAGGAGGGCAUGUUCUCUUACCUUCCCUGAUGACUUUACUCCAUGUAUAAUGAACAGGUAAGUGAUGGCCCAGGCAAGCAGAAGGCACAAAACUUGGCUUGUCUGCACACCUCCGGUGUCUUCAAUAGUGGGGGAAAUAUUCAGUGUUUCCCUGAAAAAGAAAUACUGCGUGGAAGAAGCCUUCCGGCACUCUUCUAGCGGUCCUGUCAAGUUGGCAUUAGCAGGACACUGUGACCAAGGCAGGACGGACUGUGAAUGCAAACCAGGGAGUUUGAACUCAUGAACAAAUGAGCUCUGAUGUCGUCUUGAAUGACAUGGUGCAAGAUGUUAUUGAGACACUCACUUGAAAUGAAUUAAAGAGGUACCAGAAACUCCAUGCGUUGAUGAUGUUGUAGUAGAGGCAAAGAUACAGGGAAGCCAUGACGCUAGCAAGUCCUGAAACGACAACAAACCAAUACGGAAAUUCACCACACAGUAAAAGAUGGCUUCUUUGAGAAUAAUGAGAGGUACAAUUGAAUAC